rnacentral:snoRNA from 2 species
CCUUUCUCAGGGUUGCACCUGGAGAGUUUCCAGUACUCUACCAGUCUCAACUACAGGGGGGAAAGUCAAGCAGAGGCAUACCCAUUUCAUUCCUAGCUUGGGCAGUGGUUAGUGAGUGCAAGGCAAUCUGCUACAAGU